rnacentral:rRNA from 1 species
CCUUAGAUGUUCUGGGCCGCACGCGCGCUACACUGACAGAGCCAACGAGUAUAAACCUUAACCGAGAGGUUUGGGUAAUCUUGUUAAACUCUGUCGUGCUGGGGAUAGAGCAUUGCAAUUAUUGCUCUUCAACGAGGAAUAUCUAGUAAGCGCAAGUCAUCAGCUUGCGUUGAUUACGUCCCUGCCCUUUGUACACACCGCCCGUCGCUACUACCGAUUGAAUGGCUCAGUGAGGCCUUCGGACUGGCUCAAGGAGGUCGGCAACGACUUCCCAGAGCCGGAAAGUUGGUCAAACUUGGUCAUUUAGAGGAAGUAAAAGUCGUAACAAGGUUUCCGUAGGUGAACCUGCGGAAGGAUCAUUAAUAAAAUGAAAAAAAGUAUCUUGGUGGGCUAAACACCCCCGAGGUCCUUUGCUCCGGGCUUCGGUCCUAGGCAAAGUUACACCCUUUGUGAACCAUAAAAACCUUUUCGCUUCGGUAGCAUGCCGGCUGAACCUUUCCGGUUCUACCGCGCAGUCAGCCUGCCGGCAGCACACCAUAUAAACCUGGCUUUAAACUUUGCAGUCUGAAAACAAAUUUUUGAAUUAAAUCAAAACUUUCAACAACGGAUCUCUUGGUUCUCGCAUCGAUGAAGAACGCAGCGAAACGCGAUAGUUAAUGUGAAUUGCAGAAUUCAGUGAAUCAUCGAAUCUUUGAACGCACAUUGCGCCCCCUGGUAUUCCGGCGGGCAUGUCUGUUUGAGCGUCAUUUCAACACCUCGUCCGUUGGCUUUUGUCAGCGACGGUCAUGGGCUUGGUUGGCAACAACCGGCCUUAAAGUUGAACGCUCUGCGGGUGACUUAUGCCAAACCGAACAUAGUAAUCUCCAUUUCUUGUUCCGUUCAGCUAUGUCAGUUUCGCCUGAACAAUAAACCAAAUCAUAAGGUUUGACCUCAGAUCAGACAAGGAUACCCGCUGAACUUAAGCAUAUCAAUAAGCGGAGGAAAAGAAACCAACAGGGAUUGCCUCAGUAACGGCGAGUGAAGCGGCAACAGCUCAAAUUUGAAAUCUGAAGUUUUUAACUUUCGAGUUGUAAUUUGAAGAGGACGCUUCGGUUGUGGCCCUGGCCUAUGUUCCUUGGAACAGGACGUCGUAGAGGGUGAGAAUCCCGUACACGGCUGACGGCUUACUUCCAUGUGUAGCUCCUUCGAAGAGUCGAGUUGUUUGGGAAUGCAGCUCUAAAUGGGUGGUAAAUUUCAUCUAAAGCUAAAUACUGGCGAGAGACCGAUAGCGCACAAGUAGAGUGAUCGAAAGAUGAAAAGCACUUUGAAAAGAGAGUUAAACAGUACGUGAAAUUGUUGAAAGGGAAGCGCUUGCAACCAGACUUGCUUUCAGUUGAUCAACGUUCCUUUUGGUUCGUGCACUCUGCUGUUCGCAGGCCAGCAUCGGUUGACGGCGGUGGGACAAAGACUCCGGGAAUGUGGCUUUCUUCGGGAAGUGUUAUAGCCCGGUGUGCAAUGCCACCUGCUUCGAUCGAGGACCGCGCUUUUGCUAGGAUGCUGGCUUAAUGGUUGUAAGCAAC